rnacentral:rRNA from 1 species
ACGCUGGCGGCGUGCCUAAUACAUGCAAGUAGAGCGCUGAAGAGAGGAGCUUGCUCUUCUUGGAUGGGUUGCGAACGGGUGAGUAACGCGUAGGUAACCCGCCUUGUAGCGGGGGAUAACUAUUGGAAACGAUAGCUAAUACCGCAUAACAAUGGAUGACACAUGUCAUUUAUUUGAAAGGGGCAAUUGCUCCACUACAAGAUGGACCUGCGUUGUAUUAGCUAGUAGGUGAGGUAAUGGCUCACCUAGGCGACGAUACAUAGCCGACCUGAGAGGGUGAUCGGCCACACUGGGACUGAGACACGGCCCAGACUCCUACGGGAGGCAGCAGUAGGGAAUCUUCGGCAAUGGGGGCAACCCUGACCGAGCAACGCCGCGUGAGUGAAGAAGGUUUUCGGAUCGUAAAGCUCUGUUGUAAGUCAAGAACGGGUGUGUGAGUGGAAAGUUCACACUGUGACGGUAGCUUACCAGAAAGGGACGGCUAACUACGUGCCAGCAGCCGCGGUAAUACGUAGGUCCCGAGCGUUGUCCGGAUUUAUUGGGCGUAAAGCGAGCGCAGGCGGUUUGAUAAGUCUGAAGUUAAAGGCUGUGGCUCAACCAUAGUUCGCUUUGGAAACUGUCAAACUUGAGUGCAGAAGGGGAGAGUGGAAUUCCAUGUGUAGCGGUGAAAUGCGUAGAUAUAUGGAGGAACACCGGUGGCGAAAGCGGCUCUCUGGUCUGUAACUGACGCUGAGGCUCGAAAGCGUGGGGAGCGAACAGGAUUAGAUACCCUGGUAGUCCACGCCGUAAACGAUGAGUGCUAGGUGUUGGAUCCUUUCCGGGAUUCAGUGCCGCAGCUAACGCAUUAAGCACUCCGCCUGGGGAGUACGACCGCAAGGUUGAAACUCAAAGGAAUUGACGGGGGCCCGCAC